CGAAAGCCAAAACUCUUGCAGAAAUUUUCUGGAACUUCUCUACCUCUUCGGUAGCUCAGAAAAAAAUAAAGAAGAAACAUCUUCUUUUCUUUUACCUCUCCACCGAUCAGAACCUAGAAGGGAACUAGAAAACCUUCCUCCUUCAAUCGGUGAAGAACCCAAAACAAAGCAGCAGCUCCUUCCUUCUUAAAGCUGCAGAAAAUACCUCAAAACCUUCUCUAUGUCUCUCGGUCAAGCUCACUUAAGAACCAAAAUAGAAACCAACAACAUUUCUCCCUUUUUAGUUGCAGAAAACUCCCCAAAAUCUCCCUCUCUCUCUCUAUGGGUCUCGGUCUGUGACUCUCCUACAAAGAGAGAACGAGCUGGAGAGAGAGAGAGAGAGAGAGAGCUGUGAGGAUGGAGAGAAUGGAGAGGUGGGAAGCCCUCUUUCGUGCUCUGUUCAGAUCAAAGAGGAGAAAUAUUUCAUCAAUAACCACUUGAGCUUCAGAGUCAUGUAUCACAAGGAUCCUGAGACUGAUUCUGCUCGGAUCGUUGGGUUUGAGCAUUAAUCGUGAAUAUAAGGAUUGGGAUGAUAAGAAUCCUCAAUUGGCAACAUGCAACAAAGACACCAAAAAUUCAAUGCAAUGUAGCUUUGUUCCACAAGAUGUUGUCGGAGAUUAGGUGGUUGUUUAUACGUAUGAUGUUUCAUUCAAGGAAAGUGAGAUCAAAUGGGCAUCUCGUUGGGACACAUACCUCCUCAUGAAUGAUGAUCAGAUCCACUGGUUCUCCAUCAUAAACUCUCUGCUGAUUGUCCUCUUCCUUUCUGGCAUGGUGGCCAUGAUGAUGAUGAGAAUUCUGUACAGAGAUAUUGCCAACUAUAAUCAAUUGGAAACUCAAGAUGAGGCUCAGGAAGAAACGGGAUGGAAACUUGUCCGUGUAGAUGCUUUCAGGCCACCAAUCAAUUCUGGCUUACUUUGUGUUUAUGUUGGUACUGGUGUUCAAAUAUUUGCAAUGACACUUGUGACAAUGACAUUUGCAUUGCUUCGUUUCUUAUCUCCUUCCAACUGAGGGGGGCUAAUGCCUGCCAUGGUUCUCUUAUUGCAAAAAGAGGAGGCGCUAAAAGUUUGUGUGACCAAAGCAAGUGAAGUUAGUGAAAGAGAAAAGGUGAUGGGGAUUCUAUGAUGCGAACCAUGACUCUAGCUACUAUUGGGUAUAUGGCACCAGAGUGUGGAUUGGAAGGACUUGUUUCAACAAGAGGCGAUGUGCAUAGUUAUGGUAUUUUGUUGAUGGGAACUUUCACAAGAAAGAAACCUACAGAUGACAUGCUUUCUGGAGAAAUGAGCUUGAAGCAUUGAAUAGAUGAAUCAUCACCCCUUUCAGUAGCUAAAGUUCUUGAUGUCAAUUUGUUGAGUAAUGAAAGAGAUUAUGCUUCUAUUGAGGAUUGCAUAUCAUCUGUAAUGGGAUUAGCUUUGUAGUAUUAUGUUGAGUUACCUCAACAGAGGAUUAAUGCAAAAAUUAUUUUAUUCACUCUCAACAAGAUCAAAUUGAAGUUUCUACAAGAUUCUAAAGGAUGCUAGUAUGAGAACAUCAAGUUUGUUUAUAGUUCUUUCAUGUUUGUGCUUUCGAAAUAAUAUAACAUUCUUGACAAUCCCUUAAAGAGAUUUGUUUAUAGCCACUACUUUGUUAUGGUAGUUAAUAAUAGUAACAUUUAUAAGUGGUAUAAUUACUGAUUAUAGUGACCUGUAAUGAGCCGAGGGAACUAGAUGAAGAACAAUGGAAGAACAUAUGUUGAUCAUGUUAAUAAGUCAUCAAUCAAGGAAACCAUGUCAGAUUUUGAUCUGAGUAUGGAAAGAGUUGAAUCUCUUGUUGUAUUAAGCUUUGGAGCUCGUUUAUACGGAGGACGAGAUACCUUUUUUAGUUUUAUUUUAUUAUUUUUAUAAUAAAAAGAAAUUCCAAAAGAAAAGGCGUGAAAGACUUUUCCCCUUUGCCCCCAUUUUAGAAAACCCAUUUUCCUCAAAAUUUCAAAAUUCCCAAACCUCAUCCCUCCGUCUCCACCGUCCCCCUCCCCCACCCAUUGUCGACCGCUGCCUAUCCCACUCUGACCAUGUUGGACGCCGCGCGCCUACCAAGCCGACCGUUUCAGUUUCCCCCUCACCCACUGAUAGCGUUUCAGCUUCUCUCCACCACGAGCACCGCCGAUCGUCACCCACCGCCAACCAGGAGCUCCAACGCAGACCCACAGUCGAUCAGUCUCUCUCUGACUUAUCCAUGGGUUUUUCUUGAUUUAUUGGUAUGGGUAGGUGUUAAUUUGAGUUUUGAAUAAAUAUUGGCAGCAGGUCUUGAUUUUUCGAUUUGACAUGGUUUCUAUGGUUUUGUAUUCGUUAUUGUUCAAAAAUUUAGGUUCUUUCAAAAAUCCCUGUUCUUUUUUGUAUUCGUUGAUGGCUCAUGUCGUAAAGAUAUUUCAGGUUCUUGUUCAGAAAAUCACAGUACUACCUAACUACGAUUAAUCAAAUAUGAUUCACUAGGAUAUAAACGUAGCAUCGCUACUUCUUCAAGCAAACAAAGCUUUAGAAGAAAGAAACAGCCUAUUAAUUUUUCCACUUUCCUAGAGCUUGAACAUGAUAAAGUACCGAAAAAUGAUUUCCACAACUAAUUGUCUGUUUCUUUGUUUCUCUUCAAAAGUUCAAAUAAUGAUUUAAUGUUGCUUCCAUUUACACAUAACCAAACAGAUCCUAGACUCUACCUUAAACUAAAUGGUAGAUGGCAUUGCCAAUUUCCAUUUUAUAGAUUGUGCUAAUGUUUGGGUUCUCUUUCUUUCUUGCAAAUGGUUGUAUGGUCAUAUGUUGGUGAAUUUUUGUUAUUAUCUGUUUCGUUUGCUGGAAACUUUUGUUGGGAUUGCAAUGUUUUCUUCGGUUUUUGGAUAUUUAUCAGAUGAGUUUGAGAAAUUUAUGGUCUAGAAAACAAUUAGAAAAUUUUUUUUAUUUGUUGAUUUGAUUGUAGAGUAAUUGCCAAUUACUCUGAGGAAGCACUAAUUAGACCCGAUUUGGUUCACUACUUCAAUGAUUUGGUUGUACAUAUGGAUAAGAGAUUUUUGUGCACUCCCACGUAUUUGAGUUGUCUGCUUUGGCUUUUUCAAAGAAAAUAGAUCUCUUGAAUUUUUUUUUGUUACUGGUGGGUGAAUUGUUAACCAUUUCUCUUACUUAUCAUUAGAUUUAGCUGCUUCUAAGUGAUGUGUGGUUUUUUUGCAUUUUUUGGUAUUGCUAAGUUCUUGUACAGGUUUUACAAUAAAUUCAGUUGCAAUGAUAGAUGAUCAUGAAAUUCGAAAAUGCAAAAGGGUGAAAGAAGUUUGCUUUUAAUUUUCAUGGACAUCCAAAUGCUUCUUGAAUUAGUGCAACAUAAUGUUUUACUUUUUUAUUUGUGGUUUUCUAGUAGUUAAACUUUGUCACUACUACUUGCUUGCAUCCUUGGAAUUCUUUCACACGUAUAUGUAAGUUGUGAUCAAACUUGUUUCGACAAAUACAUUACUCAUUUAUCUUGGUCAU